AGCGAACGUUUGCGGCGGGCCUAACACAUGCAAGUCGAACGCACUAGCAAUAGUGAGUGGCGCACGGGUGCGUAACACGUGGGUAAUCAACCCUUCAGCCUGGGAUAACGACUCGAAAGGGUCGCUAAUACCGGAUACGGCGCGAGAGGCUUCGGCUUCUCACGAGAAAGCCACGCAAGGGGCACUGAAGGACGAGCCUGCGGCCCAUCAGCUAGUUGGUGAGGUAAGAGCUUACCAAGGCUAAGACGGGUAGCUGGUCUGAGAGGAUGAUCAGCCACACUGGAACUGAGACACGGUCCAGACUCCUACGGGAGGCAGCAGUGGGGAACUAUUGCGCAAUGGGCGAAAGCCUGACGCAGCCACGCCGCGUGAGCGAUGAAGGCCUUCGGUCGUAAGACUCUGUGGGAGAGACGAAGAAAGACCUGUGAAGAGCAGGCCUUGACGGUAGUCUCCUUAGCAAGCACCGGC
rnacentral:rRNA from 1 species